rnacentral:rRNA from 1 species
UUGAAGAGUUUGAUCAUGGCUCAGAUUGAACGCUGGCGGCAGGCCUAACACAUGCAAGUCGAACGGUAACAGGAAACAGCUUGCUGUUUCGCUGACGAGUGGCGGACGGGUGAGUAAUGUCUGGGAAACUGCCUGAUGGAGGGGGAUAACUACUGGAAACGGUAGCUAAUACCGCAUAACGUCGCAAGACCAAAGAGGGGGACCUUCGGGCCUCUUGCCAUCGGAUGUGCCCAGAUGGGAUUAGCUUGUUGGUGGGGUAACGGCUCACCAAGGCGACGAUCCCUAGCUGGUCUGAGAGGAUGACCAGCCACACUGGAACUGAGACACGGUCCAGACUCCUACGGGAGGCAGCAGUGGGGAAUAUUGCACAAUGGGCGCAAGCCUGAUGCAGCCAUGCCGCGUGUAUGAAGAAGGCCUUCGGGUUGUAAAGUACUUUCAGCGGGGAGGAAGGGAGUAAAGUUAAUACCUUUGCUCAUUGACGUUACCCGCAGAAGAAGCACCGGCUAACUCCGUGCCAGCAGCCGCGGUAAUACGGAGGGUGCAAGCGUUAAUCGGAAUUACUGGGCGUAAAGCGCACGCAGGCGGUUUGUUAAGUCAGAUGUGAAAUCCCCGGGCUCAACCUGGGAACUGCAUCUGAUACUGGCAAGCUUGAGUCUCGUAGAGGGGGGUAGAAUUCCAGGUGUAGCGGUGAAAUGCGUAGAGAUCUGGAGGAAUACCGGUGGCGAAGGCGGCCCCCUGGACGAAGACUGACGCUCAGGUGCGAAAGCGUGGGGAGCAAACAGGAUUAGAUACCCUGGUAGUCCACGCCGUAAACGAUGUCGACUUGGAGGUUGUGCCCUUGAGGCGUGGCUUCCGGAGCUAACGCGUUAAGUCGACCGCCUGGGGAGUACGGCCGCAAGGUUAAAACUCAAAUGAAUUGACGGGGGCCCGCACAAGCGGUGGAGCAUGUGGUUUAAUUCGAUGCAACGCGAAGAACCUUACCUGGUCUUGACAUCCACGGAAGUUUUCAGAGAUGAGAAUGUGCCUUCGGGAACCGUGAGACAGGUGCUGCAUGGCUGUCGUCAGCUCGUGUUGUGAAAUGUUGGGUUAAGUCCCGCAACGAGCGCAACCCUUAUCCUUUGUUGCCAGCGGUCCGGCCGGGAACUCAAAGGAGACUGCCAGUGAUAAACUGGAGGAAGGUGGGGAUGACGUCAAGUCAUCAUGGCCCUUACGACCGGGCUACACGUGCUACAAUGGCGCAUACAAAGAGAAGCGACCUCGCGAGAGCAAGCGGACCUCAUAAAGUGCGUCGUAGUCCGGAUUGGAGUCUGCAACUCGACUCCAUGAAGUCGGAAUCGCUAGUAAUCGUGGAUCAGAAUGCCACGGUGAAUACGUUCCCGGCCUUGUACACACCGCCCGUCACACCAUGGGAGUGGGUUGCAAAAGAAGUAGGUAGCUUAACCUUCGGGAGGGCGCUUACCACUUUGUGAUUCAUGACUGGGGUGAAGUCGUAACAAGGUAACCGUAGGGGGAACCUGCGGUUGGAUCACCUCCUU